rnacentral:rRNA from 1 species
GACGAACGCUGGCGGCGUGCCUAAUACAUGCAAGUAGAACGCUGAAGGAGGAGCUUGCUCUUCUGGAUGAGUUGCGAACGGGUGAGUAACGCGUAGGUAACCUGCCUGGUAGCGGGGGAUAACUAUUGGAAACGAUAGCUAAUACCGCAUAAUAGUAGCUGUUGCAUGAUAUUUACUUAAAAGGUGCAAUUGCACCACUACCAGUUGGACCUGCGUUGUAUUAGCUAGUUGGUGGGGUAACGGCUCACCAAGGCGACGAUACAUAGCCGACCUGAGAGGGUGAUAGGCCACACUGAGACUGAGACACGGCCCAGACUCCUACGGGAGGGAGCAGUAGGGAAUCUUCGGCAAGGGACGAAAGUCUGACCGAGCAACGCCGCGGGAGUGAAGAAGGUUUUCGGAUCGUAAAGCUCUGUUGUAAGAGAAGAACGAGUGUGAGAGUGGAAAGUUCACACUGUGACGGUAACUUACCAGAAAGGGACGGCUAACUACGUG